rnacentral:lncRNA from 1 species
GGAUGACUGAUUGUACCGGCCAGCUGGCUAAUAUCAUAAUUAACAAAGUUGCUACUACGUCUGUGAAGUUUAAUCAAAACAUUUACUGGUGAUAGGAUGGCAUUGUCACAACCAUCACAAGGGACUCAGAGUCGACUUCUGCUUGAGGUGGAGCUGGAGCGGCAGAGCAAGAUGAGAAACUGUGAACUUGUUCAGCUAAA